AUUCAGAGAGCUUGUCUAAGCAUUCGACUUUUAAUCGAAAGAAAGUUUUUACUUCUGAUUA
rnacentral:tRNA from 1 species